ACAAACUGAUGAGGACAGUGACUCAGAGGAGAAUUUGUGUGGAAUACAAGAGAGCUGUACCACUGGGCUGUGUCAUCACCCUCAGCUGGAAACAGACGUUGAGUCAGUCAGGACUUUGUAUUCAGACUCUGCGAUCUCUGUCAGGGUGUACGACUCAAUUGAUGAUGUGGAUGUUGACUUAAACAUCAAUACCAACUUCCUGGGCGAGGAGGUGGCCAAAGCAUGGGGGGUUAAUUCAUCAGAGCCCAUUGUUAUCCGUCUGCACUUUUCUCUCUCCCAGUAUCUGGACGGCCCUGCACCUUCUGUUGAAGUCUUUCAGCCAAGCAACUCAGAUCAUUUCAGUGUCGGGAAACAACUAGAGAA